UGAUAGCUGUGAAGCGCGAGGUUGCUGCAGAAACUGCAGGUUUUCCGUGGAGCGAAUGUCAAGUUAGAAAACUGGCGACAA
ncrna:unclassified sequences S10-Clostridia ribosomal protein leader